GGCUCGGUAGCGUCUGGGACGCGUCUGCGUUGUAUUAAAGGGUACCGUUAUAGCGCCUAUAUCUGUGCAGACCUGCCCGUUCGACUCGGGCCCGAGCCA